AUUGAACGCUGGCGGAAUGCUUUACACAUGCAAGUCGAACGGUAGAGGGGGCAACCCCUCGAGAGUGGCGAACGGGUGAGUAAUAUAUCGGAACGUGCCCAGUCGUGGGGGAUAACGUAGCGAAAGUUACGCUAAUACCGCAUACGGUCUAAGGAUGAAAGCGGGGGACCGUAAGGCCUCGCGCGAUUGGAGCGGCCGAUAUCAGAUUAGGUAGUUGGUGAGGUAAAGGCUCACCAAGCCAACGAUCUGUAGCUGGUCUGAGAGGACGACCAGGCACACUGGAACUGAGACACGGUCCAGACUCCUACGGGAGGCAGCAGUGGGGAAUUUUGGACAAUGGACGCAAGUCUGAUUCAGCCAUUCCGCGUGCAGGAUGGAGGCCCUCGGGUUGUAAACUGCUUUUGUACGGAACGAAAAGGUCUCUCCUAAUACGAGGGGCUCAUGACGGUACCGUAAGAAUAAGCACCGGCUAACUACGUGCCAGCAGCCGCGGUAA
rnacentral:rRNA from 1 species